UACAGAGGUCUCAAGCGUUGUUCGGAUUCAUUGGGCGUAAAGGGUCUGUAGGUGGCGCCGUAAGUCGGGUGUGAAAUUUCGGAGCUUAACUCCGAAACUGCAUUCGAUACUGCGGUGCUUGAGGACUGGAGAGGAGACUGGAAUUCAUGGUGUAGCAGUGAAAUGCGUAGAUAUCAGGAGGAACACCGAUGGCGAAGGCAGGUCUCUGGGCCGAUACUGACGCUGAGGAGCGAAAGCGUGGGGAGCGAACAGG
rnacentral:rRNA from 1 species